rnacentral:rRNA from 1 species
UGCAUGUCUAAGUAUAAGUAUUUAUAUAGCGAAACUGCGAAUGGCUCAUUAAAUCAGUUAUAGUUUAUUUGAUUGUACCUUUUUUUUUACUUGGAUAACCGUAGUAAUUCUAGAGCUAAUACAUGCUAAAAACCCCAACUUUAUGGAAAGGGUGCAUUUAUUAGAUACAAAACCGAUGUAUUAUUUCUUUCGAGGGAUAAUGCCUUGUGAUGACUCAUGAUAACUUUGCGAAUCGCAUAGCUUCGUGCUGGCGAUAAAUCAUUCAAAUUUCUGACCUAUCAACUUUCGAUGGUAGUGUAGUGGACUACCAUGGUUAUAACGGGUAACGGAGGAUUAGGGUUCGAUUCCGGAGAGGGUGCCUGAGAAAUGGCAACCACUUCCAAGGAAGGCAGCAGGCGCGCAAAUUACCCAAUCGCAAUACGCGGAGGUAGUGACAAUAAAUAACAAUACAGGUCCCGACAAGGGACUUGUAAUUGGAAUGAGUACAAUUUAAACCCCUUAACAAGGAACAAUUGGAGGACAAGUCUGGUGCCAGCACCCGCGGUAAUUCCAGCUCCAAUAGCGUAUAUUAAAGUUGUUGCAGUUAAAAAGCUCGUAGUUGGAUUUUGGAGGUUCAUGGUGAAGUUUGAUUAAGUGGGGUUUCGCGAUCACAUUUAAUUUUAAAACUCAUAUGUUUCAGGGAAUAAAGGUAAUGAAUUGGGGGAAAGGAAGGGAUUUUCUCUUUCUUUUUCUUUAUUUAUUAUCUCCUUGAAAAUGGGAACCGGUCUACUUGAAUCUUUUUUUGGGUUCAAGUGUGCACUGUUCUCAGACCUCUUCUUUUAGGUCAGUCCACUUCUGCUCUUAAGUGAGUGGUGGUGAGGCUCCUAAUCGUUUACUUUGAAAAAAUUAGAGUGUUUAAAGCAGGCGAAUUAGCCUUGAAUACAUUAGCAUGGGAUAACGGAACACGACAGGAGACUUGUUUCGUUGGUUUAAAAAAAAGAAAAGAAUUUAUUUCUUUUCUUUUGAGUCUCAAGUAAUGAUUAAUAGAAAUAGUUGGGGACAUUUAUAUUCCAUGGCUAGAGGUGAAAUUCUUGGAUUCAUGGAAGAUAAACUAAUGCGAAAGCAUCUGUCAAGGAUGUUUUCAUUAAUCAAGAACGAAAGUUAGGGGAUCGAAGACGAUCAGAUACCGUCGUAGUCUUAACUAUAAACUAUGCCGACCAGGGAUUGGGAGACGUUACGUGGAUGACUCCCCCAGCACCUUGAGAGAAAUCAUGAGUCUUUGGGUUCCGGGGGGAGUAUGGUCGCAAGGCUGAAACUUAAAGGAAUUGACGGAAGGGCACCACCAGGAGUGGAGCCUGCGGCUUAAUUUGACUCAACACGGGGAAACUCACCAGGUCCAGACAUAGUAAGGAUUGACAGAUUGAUAGCUCUUUCUUGAUUCUAUGGGUGGUGGUGCAUGGUCGUUCUUAGUUGGUGGAGUGAUUUGUCUGGUUAAUUCCGAUAACGAACGAGACCUCAGCCUGCUAAAUAGUAAAGUGAAUUUUCUAAAAUGGGUGAAGGGAAGAAGUUGAGGGUGAUACUUGUUAUCACUUCGUCUUUUUGGAUCCUUGAAAUAUUUACUUUUAUUUUAUUAAUUAUUAAUUAUAAAUUAAUUUACUUCUUAGAGGGACAAUUCAUAUUUUAGUGAAUGGAAGUUUGAGGCAAUAACAGGUCUGUGAUGCCCUUAGAUGUUCUGGGCUGCACGCGCGCUACAAUGACUAAUUCAACGAGUAUUUCACCUUGAUCGAAAGGUCUGGGUAAUCUUCCAAAAUUAGUCGUGCUGGGGAUAGACUAUUGUAAUUAUUAGUCUUCAACGAGGAAUUCCUAGUAAGUGCAGGUCAUCAACCUGCGCUGAUUACGUCCCUGCCCUUUGUACACACCGCCCGUCGCUCCUACCGAUUGAACGAUCCGGUGAAAUCUUGGGAUCGAGAAGUAUGCCUUGGGGAAACUCAAGUGCGAUUUUUUGAGAACUUGCUUGAACCUUAUCGUUUAGAGGAAGGAGAAGUCGUAACAAGGUAUCCGUAGGUGAACCUGCGGAUGGAUCAUUA